rnacentral:rRNA from 1 species
GAUCAUGGCUCAGGAUGAACGCUAGCUACAGGCUUAACACAUGCAAGUCGAGGGGCAGCAUGAACUUAGCUUGCUAAGUUGAUGGCGACCGGCGCACGGGUGAGUAACACGUAUCCAAACCUGCCGAUGACUCGGGGAUAGCCUUUCGAAAGAAAGAUUAAUACCCGAUGGCAUAGUUCUUCCGCAUGGUGGAACUAUUAAAGAAUUUCGGUCAUCGAUGGGGAUGCGUUCCAUUAGUUUGUUGGCGGGUAACGGCCCACCAAGACUACGAUGGAUAGGGGUUCUGAGAGGAAGGUCCCCCACAUUGGAACUGAGACACGGUCCAAACUCCUACGGGAGGCAGCAGUGAGGAAUAUUGGUCAAUGGACGCGAGUCUGAACCAGCCAAGUAGCGUGAAGGAUGACUGCCCUAUGGGUUGUAAACUUCUUUUAUAUGGGAAUAAAGUGGUCCACGUGUGGAUUUUGUAUGUACCAUAUGAAUAAGGAUCGGCUAACUCCGUG